CAGUCGCCACGGGAAUACGAAGGGGGCUAGCGUUGUUCGGAAUUACUGGGCGUAAAGCGCACGUAGGCGGAUAUUUAAGUCAGGGGUGAAAUCCCAGAGCUCAACUCUGGAACUGCCUUUGAUACUGGGUAUCUUGAGUAUGGAAGAGGUGAGUGGAAUUCCGAGUGUAGAGGUGAAAUUCGUAGAUAUUCGGAGGAACACCAGUGGCGAAGGCGGCUCACUGGUCCAUUACUGACGCUGAGGUGCGAAAGCGUGGGGAGCAAACAGGAUUAGAUACCCCUGUAGUCCCUGUCUCUUAUAC
rnacentral:rRNA from 1 species